AUUGAACGCUGGCGGCAUGCUUUACACAUGCAAGUCGAACGGUAACAGGUUAAGCUGACGAGUGGCGUACGGGUGAGUAAUGCAUCGGAACGUGCCCAGUCGUGGGGGAUAACGCAGCGAAAGCUGCGCUAAUACCGCAUACGAUCUAUGGAUGAAAGCGGGGGACCGAAAGGCCCCGCGCGAUUGGAGCGGCCGAUGUCAGAUUAGGUAGUUGGUGGGGUAAAGGCUCACCAAGCCAACGAUCUGUAGCUGGUCUGAGAGGACGACCAGCCACACUGGGACGGGGACACGGCCCAGACUCCUACGGGAGGCAGCAGUGGGGAAUUUUGGACAAUGGGCGCAAGCCUGAUCCAGCAAUGCCGCGUGCAGGAAGAAGGCCUUCGGGUUGUAAACUGCUUUUGUACGGAACGAAACGGUCCUGGUUAAUACCUGGGGCUAAUGACGGUACCGUAAGAAUAAGCACCGGCUAACUACGUGCCAGCCGCCGCAGUAAAAC
rnacentral:rRNA from 1 species